ensembl:snoRNA
UGGUCAUUUCAAAGAGGGCUCAUGGAGUUGUGAAACCAAGAGCUCUUAACGCUGUGACCAAAUAUUGAAGUUCUCUGCAGGAUGCUGUAACACUAAAUAGUGCUAUGUUUUCCUGAGGAGAGGUACAAGA